rnacentral:rRNA from 1 species
CCAAACCAACAAGCUUGCUUGUUGGGGUUGUAGGACACUCUAUACGGAGUUACAAAGGACGACAUUAGACGAAUCAUCUGGAAAGAUGAAUCAAAGAAGGUAAUAAUCCUGUAGUCGAAAAUGUUGUCUCUCUUGAGUGGAUCCUGAGUACGACGGAGCACGUGAAAUUCCGUCGGAAUCUGGGAGGACCAUCUCCUAAGGCUAAAUACUCUCUAGUGACCGAUAGUGAACCAGUACCGUGAGGGAAAGGUGAAAAGCACCCCGGAAGGGGAGUGAAAUAGAACCUGAAACCGUGUGCUUACAAGUAGUCAGAGCCCGUUAAUGGGUGAUGGCGUGCCUUUUGUAGAAUGAACCGGCGAGUUACGAUUUGAUGCAAGGUUAAGCAGUAAAUGUGGAGCCGUAGCGAAAGCGAGUCUGAAUAGGGCGUUUAGUAUUUGGUCGUAGACCCGAAACCAGGUGAUCUACCCUUGGUCAGGUUGAAGUUCAGGUAACACUGAAUGGAGGACCGAACCGACUUACGUUGAAAAGUGAGCGGAUGAACUGAGGGUAGCGGAGAAAUUCCAAUCGAACCUGGAGAUAGCUGGUUCUCUCCGAAAUAGCUUUAGGGCUAGCCUCAAGUGAUGAUUAUUGGAGGUAGAGCACUGUUUGGACGAGGGGCCCCUCUCGGGUUACCGAAUUCAGACAAACUCCGAAUGCCAAUUAAUUUAACUUGGGAGUCAGAACAUGGGUGAUAAGGUCCGUGUUCGAAAGGGAAACAGCCCAGACCACCAGCUAAGGUCCCAAAAUAUAUGUUAAGUGGAAAAGGAUGUGGCGUUGCCCAGACAACUAGGAUGUUGGCUUAGAAGCAGCCAUCAUUUAAAGAGUGCGUAAUAGCUCACUAGUCGAGUGACACUGCGCCGAAAAUGUACCGGGGCUAAACAUAUUACCGAAGCUGUGGAUUGUCCUUUGGACAAUGGUAGGAGAGCGUUCUAAGGGCGUUGAAGCAUGAUCGUAAGGACAUGUGGAGCGCUUAGAAGUGAGAAUGCCGGUGUGAGUAGCGAAAGACGGGUGAGAAUCCCGUCCACCGAUUGACUAAGGUUUCCAGAGGAAGGCUCGUCCGCUCUGGGUUAGUCGGGUCCUAAGCUGAGGCCGACAGGCGUAGGCGAUGGAUAACAGGUUGAUAUUCCUGUACCACCUAUA